rnacentral:rRNA from 1 species
GGGAUAUUGCACGAUGGGCGGAAGCCUGAUGCAGCAACGCCGCGUGAGUGAUGAAGGCCCUCGGGUCGUAAAACUCUUUUCAAGAGGAAGAGGAAGGACGGUACUCUUGGAAUAAUCCUCGGCUAACUACGUGCCAGCAGCCGCGGUAACACGUAGGAGGCGAGCGUUAUUCGGAUUUACUGGGCGUAAAGCGCGUGUAGGCGGCUGAUCAAGUUGGAUGUGAAAGCUCCUGACUUAACUGGGAGAGGACGUUCAAAACUGAACAGCUUGAGUAUGAGAGAGGAAAGUGGUAUUCCGGGUGUAGUGGUGAAAUGCGUAGAUAUCCGGCGGAACACCAGUGGUGAAGGCGAUUUUCUGGC